rnacentral:rRNA from 1 species
AUACGAAGGUUCCGAGCGUUAUUGGGAAUCACUGGGCGUAAAGGGAGCGUAGGCUGUAGGGUAAGUCAGAUGUGAAAUCUCAGAGCUCAACUCUGAAACUGCAUCCGAUACUGCCGUACUAGAGUAAUGGAGGGGUAACUGGAAUUCUCGGUGUAGCAGUGAAAUGCGUAGAUAUCGAGAGGAAGACCAACGGCGAAGGCAGGUUACUGGACAUUUACUGACGCUGAGGCUCGAAGGCUAGGGUAGCGAAAGGGAUUAGAUACCCCAGUAGUCC